AGUGAACGCUGGCGGUAGACCUAACACAUGCAAGUCGAACGGCAGCACAGUAAGAGCUUGCUCUUACGGGUGGCGAGUGGUGGACGGGUGAGGAAUACAUCGGAAUCUACUUUUUCGUGGGGGAUAACGUAGGGAAACUUACGCUAAUACCGCAUACGACCUACGGGUGAAAGCAGGGGAUCUUCGGACCUUGCGCGAUUGAAUGAGCCGAUGUCGGAUUAGCUAGUUGGCGGGGUAAAGGCCCACCAAGGCGACGAUCCGUAGCUGGUCUGAGAGGAUGAUCAGCCACACUGGAACUGAGACACGGUCCAGACUCCUACGGGAGGCAGCAGUGGGGAAUAUUGGACAAUGGGCGCAAGCCUGAUCCAGCCAUACCGCGUGGGUGAAGAAGGCCUUCGGGUUGUAAAGCCCUUUUGUUGGGAAAGAAAAGCAGCAGGUUAAUACCCCGCUGUUCUGACGGUACCCAAAGAAUAAGCACCGGCUAACUUCGUG
rnacentral:rRNA from 1 species